UUUAUUUUAUUUGUAAUCGCUCUCUCCCAGUCAGGGUUUUAGAGGAACUUCUGAAUUUGAGCUUCUUCGAUGGCGAUUCGUUCAUUUUGGAGAUCAAAAACUAGGUUUAUGAUUUCUUCAACGACUAUGCGAGACUUUAUAGUACCAAUUAUUGCAGAGUCACCCACUCUUAUAAUACCUCAAAACUCAAUCAAUGAAAUUAAUCAAAUGAACUCAUCAGUGAGGUGUUACCAUGAUGGUAGACCAAGAGGACCACUCUGGAGAGGUAAGAAAUUGAUUGGUAAAGAAGCUUUAUUUGUGAUUUUAGGCAUCAAAAGAUUCAAAGAUGAUGAAGAAAAGCUUGGAAAGUUUAUUAAAACUCAUGUUUUGAGAUUGUUGAAGAUGGAUAUGAUUGCAGUUCUCACUGAGCUUGAGAGGCAAGAUGAAGUUGGUUUGGCUCUAAAGAUGUUUAGGAUUAUUCAGAAGCAAGAUUGGUACAAGCCUGAUGUGUAUCUGUACAAGGACUUGAUUAUUGCGUUGGCUAAGAAUAAGAAAAUGGAGGAUGCAAUACAAGUAUGGGAAAGCAUGAGACAAGAGGGUCUGUAUCCUGAUUGUCAAACUUAUGCUGAAGUUAUUCGAGGUUUUUUAAGGUAUGGAUCACCAGGGGAUGCUAUGAAUGUAUACGAGGACAUGAAAAAGUCUCCUGAGCCUCCAGAGGAAUUACCAUUCAGGAUUUUAAUGAAGGGUCUCUUACCUCAUCCUCUUUUGAGAAACAAAGUGAAGCAAGAUUUUGAAGAAAUAUUUCCUGAUAGACAUGUGUAUGAUCCUCCGGAAGAGAUAUUUGGAAUGCGUUGAGAAAAUGCGUGGUAAAGGCAUCUGUUUUGCUUCUUUGUUGACUUGUUUUUCGAGAUGCAUCUGAUGUCCAUGGAGUUGCCUCAACCGCGUGUAUGGUAUGCCUUGUCGGGGUAAAACCUAUGCAACAAGUAGUGAAUGUGCCCUAUGUGUUUGUUCCUUAAAAGGAAAGUGUUGGCCGAGCAUUUGGAGACACAAGGUCUGUUAUUGCUUGUACAAUGACCAUCAUCUAGGGAAGCCAGCUGAAAACCCAAAUUACUCAGCUUUAGGUAUGUACCAUUUAUAUUUUGCCAUGUUUUGCCCCAUGCCCAUUCCUUUUGCUGUAUUCUUAUAUUGUUAUUGUUUUUAAGGAUUCAUUUUACAGAAAGGGAAAAUCAAAGAUAUUGCAGUAAAGCCUGUUGACUUAUUCUGACUGUGUUAGAGAAAUUUUGGUUUUCGAGAGGUUUUGAUUUAUUAAGUUGUUAUGUUAUUAGUCUAAAUUAUGUAUUACGUUGAGAAAAUUCUGUUUCCACGUUUAGAAUGAUGAUGUGAAUCAACUUUAACUUUAUAAAUGUAAAACUUAGUGUGGUUUGUGAUUUUGGGAUGAUGCGGCUUUUAGAUAUACUUGUUGGGGAUCAUACAAGUUACGAGGGUGCUACCAGACCAGUUACUAAAGUUGAAGUGCUUAAGGUGAGCUUCUUAGAUAUAUAAAUUGUGUUGCAGAUCUUCUAGCUUGAUGUUGACUUAUAUGUGGUCUUGAACUACAAAGUUGGAUGAUCUUUGCUCUUAUAGAUAUAUAAGUGGUGUUUGUUUCUGUGAUAGUUCUGAAACAACCGCUUGUUGUGUCUACCUAUCUUGCAUGUGAGGUUGGCAAGGGAUUAACACAGAGUAAAGGUGGGUGUUAUGUCUGGUGUGCUUUCAGCUAACUUGACUAUUGAAAACUCAGUUUUCGGGUUGUUGAAGUUGGACAAGGUUGCAGUUCUCAGUGGAACAUGCAAGAGGGAGUCAGUUGGGCUCUAAUGGUGCAAUUAUGAUGUUAAAAUUUCUUGGUAACAAAUGGUGCGACGGUCCUGCAACAUGGGGACAAUGGAUUCUCCUCCUUUUUGGGCAGAGAUUAGCUACAAAGUCUGCCUCGUCACUAGAGAAAUCUGUACCGAACCCAAAAUCUACCUUUGUAAACUUGAAACCAAAAAUCCUGUCUUUGUACCAUGAAAUCCGUCUUGUAUAAGGGUAACAAAAAGAAUUAUAUCCCACUCCAAAACCUACCAAUAAAUCUGCCUGGAGAAAGCAGAACCUGUCCUAUGACUGAACUUGCUCUCUGCAAGAAUAUAUGGUUGUGGAUUAAAGCUGCUAGUUAAGUUGGCGUUUCAGCCAGCAUCAAGCAUGUUCAUUUUCGCGGUCGUUUUUUUUUGUUUUUCCACUUCAGUUCAAGGAUUAAAGCUGCGUAAGUUUAAAAUGGAUCACAUCAUCACCGGAAGCAUCACUUUGUUUCAUUACAAAA